rnacentral:lncRNA from 1 species
UGUGAAGGACUUUCACACUGAGGUAAAGAUGAACAUACUCAUGAAUGUUAAGGAAAAAUAGCUAACUUUUAUACUUAGGUACAUGUGAAUGAUGAACAUGUGACUAAUAAGCCGUUGAGUGUGAGUAGUAGCUUACCUACAUAUGAGUAUAUUGAUUCCUUACCACUUGUGGAUGAUGUACAUGUUGUGCGAGUGGAUACACUAGUAUAUCCUAUAGAUGACCAAAUCGACUCUUCU